CCUACGGGAGGCAGCAGUAGGGAAUAUUUCUCAAUGGGGGAAACCCUGAAGCAGCACCGCCGCGUGGAGGAUGAAGGUUUUAGGCUUGUAAACUCCUUUUGUUAGAGAAGAUUAUGACGGUAUCUCACGAAUAAGCACCGGCUAACUCCGUGCCAGCAGCCGCGGUAAUACGGAGGGUGCAAGCGUUAAUCGGAAUCACUGGGCGUAAGGAGUGCGUAGGCGGGGUAAGAAGUCAGAUGUGAAAUCCUGUAGCUUAACUACAGAACUGCAUUUGAAACUGUUACUCUGGAGUGUGGGAGAGGUAGGUGGAAUUCUUGGUGUAGGGGUAAAAUCCGUAGAGAUCAAGAGGAAUACUCAUUGCGAAGGCGACCUGCUGGAACAUUACUGACGCUGAUGCACGAAAGCGUGGGGAGCAAACAGGAUUAGAUACCCCUGUAGUC
rnacentral:rRNA from 1 species